CCUACGGGAGGCAGCAGUGGGGAAUAUUGCACAAUGGGGGAAACCCUGAUGCAGCGACGCCGCGUGAGUGAAGAAGUAUUUCGGUAUGUAAAGCUCUAUCAGCAGGGAAGAAGAAAGACGGUACCUGACUAAGAAGCCCCGGCUCACUACGUGCCAGCAGCCGCGGUAAUACGUAGGGGGCAAGCGUUAUCCGGAUUUACUGGGUGUAAAGGGAGCGUAGACGGCUGUGCAAGUCUGAAGUGAAAGCCCAGGGCUCAACCCUGGGACUGCUUUGGAAACUGUGGAGCUAGAGUACAGGAGGGGCAGGCGGAAGUCCUGGUGUAGCGGUGAAAUGCGUAGAUAUCAGGAGGAACACCGGCGGCGAAGGCGGCCUGCUGGACUGAAACUGACGUUGAGGCUCGAAAGCGUGGGGAGCAAACAGGAUUAGAUACCCCUGUAGUC
rnacentral:rRNA from 1 species